GCAGCUCUCAACAAAUAUCGGAUAAAUAGUGAAUGAAUCUAAAGAUGCAUUUCCUCUGGACUCUUCUAUCUGGAAGAAAAGAUUCCUGGAUUUCUGACCAUCUGAUCUCCCAGGCCAGAACUUACCUGCUAAGCCCGUGUCUUCUGAGCUGACCUAGAAGCCUAGGGGCCAUUCCAC